GCACUAACCUGGACAGAGGUCGACUCGUGAUCAAGAAGACGAGUGUCCUAGGCUAGUGAGUUCCAUUGCACUUCAGAGGGGUGCUUAGCUUAAGGUCUUCCCAUGAGGAAGAGCCUACGUCAUUAUUUGUGUUAAAGGAGGCCUGCGUUCGUGCGGUCCCUAG
rfam:Brassica oleracea var. oleracea cultivar TO1000 chromosome C6, whole genome shotgun sequence